rnacentral:rRNA from 1 species
GUAGGGUGCGAGCGUUAAUCGGAAUUACUGGGCGUAAAGCGUGCGCAGGCGGUGAUGUAAGACCGAUGUGAAAUCCCCGGGCUCAACCUGGGAACUGCAUUGGUGACUGCAUUGCUCGAGUAUGGCAGAGGGGGGUGGAAUUCCACGUGUAGCAGUGAAAUGCGUAGAGAUGUGGAGGAACACCGAUGGCGAAGGCAGCCCCCUGGGCCAAUACUGACGCUCAUGCACGAAAGCGUGGGGAGCAAACAGGAUUAGAUACCCUGGUAGUCCCACGCCCCUAAACGAUGUCAACUGGUUGUCGGGCCUUCAUUGGCUUGGUAACGUAGCUAACGCGUGAAGUUGACCGCCUGGGGAGUACGGUCGCAAGAUUA